AUCCAGGAAGUGGUGCAGUAUAUCAAGAGGCUAGAAGAAGCGCAAAGUAAACGGCAAGAAAAACUCGUAGAGAAACACAAGGAAAUACGUCAGCAGAUCCUGGAUGAAAAGCCCAAGGUACCAUGAUGAAUUCCUCUGUGCUUUUCUUCCAUGAGGUUGCUCCAUGACCAUCUUUUUGUGUCUGGAUUUGAAGGUUGCCCAUGAAGAUUGUUGGUUCCAUGUCAAACUAAAGCAUUUCUUGAGGGUUUUUCUUCAUGGCUUAAAAACGUUGUGCCUUAAAGCUGUGAUUUUAUUAAUAAAAUAAUAAAUCAUGACUGUUAA
rnacentral:lncRNA from 1 species